UACAGAGGGUGCUAGCGUUGUUCGGAAUGACUGGGCGUAAAGGGUGCGUAGGUGGUCCCUUAAGUAAGAUGUGAAAUCCCUGCGCUUAACUCAGGAACUGCGUCUUAUACUGAGGGUCUAGAGUAUUGCAGAGGAAACAGGAAUUCCUAGUGGAGGGGUAAUAUCCAUAGAUAUUAGGAGGAACACCAAAAGCGAAGGCAAGUUUCUGGGCAAUUACUGACACUGAGGCACUAAAGCGUGGGGAGCAAACAGG
rnacentral:rRNA from 1 species